rnacentral:rRNA from 1 species
AAAGGUAAGCUACUAAGAGCGAAUGGUGGAUGCCUUGACUGGUAAAGGCGAUGAAGGACGUACUAGACUGCGAUAAGCUACGGGGAGCUGUCAAGAAGCUUUGAUCCGUAGAUUUCCGAAUGGGGCAACCCAAUGUAUAGAGAUAUACAUUACCUAUAUAGGAGCGAACGAGGGGAAUUGAAACAUCUUAGUACCCUCAGGAAAAGAAAUCAAUAGAGAUUGCGUCAGUAGCGGCGAGCGAAAGCGUAAGAGGGCAAACCCAGUGCUUGCACUGGGGGUUGUAGGACUGCAAUGUGCAAGAGGUGAGUUUAGCAGAACAUUCUGGAAAGUAUAGCCAUAGAGGGUGAUAGUC